UAUCAUUUUUUUCUCACUUUGCUUCGCUUUUUUUUAAAUUAUUUUUGCGAUAACUAGUAAACAAGUAUUUACUCGUGUUUUCUUUUUUCUCUCUCUCUUUUGUAUUAUCUGCUCUCUGUUAUGUGCUUUGAGAUCAUUGGUCAUAAUUUGAAUUCUUUAAUUGUAACUUUUUGCCCUCGUUGUUAUCGACCAAGUAAAAUGGAUGAGUCAUCUUUUUUCAUUUUCUCUUAUAUUUUUUUUUCUUAUUACUAUAAACUCGAAAGGUCGCAAAUUACUACGAUCUUGGAUUUCUUCGUUACAUUUUUACCCGUCGAGUAAAAUCGAUAAUUCAUAUAUAUUAAGUCUUUUCUUUCCUUAGCUAUUACUUUACAUCGAUAAUAUUUUUAUCUCUCUUGGCCCGACAAAACGAAAAAAUGGCGUUAUCAAUAUAUAUACACAUAUACAUACAUACAUACAUACAUAUAUAUAUAUAUAUAUAUAUAUAUAUAUAUAUAUAUAGACACACACACACACACAUAUAUAUGAACGUUCGAACGGAAAUAGAUCGAUACGUCGUUUCUCUCGCUUGAAUACUUGAGUGUAGUAUAAACAAUAAGAUCGAAAGGUUAUCCGUUGACAUUUACAUAUAUGUACGUAUCAAACAAAGAUAUUCAAAUGUAGGUUAUAUUCUAUUUGCGCAUAAUGAACGAAAAAAUGUGUGAUUAGAAAACGAUAUAUCGAUGAACAAUUUCGAGAAUAAUCUAUAGAUCGUUAACGUGGAAUAGUUGUUAACAAAGAAAAGUGACCUUUCGAAACUAUACAAGAGAAUGAUAAAACGAGAACGACAGAGACAGCCUUUAGCGACGAUAUGUGUGUAUCGACUGGAAGCUAAUUUAAGUGUCGUAAGACUUUACGAUUUGCGAACAAGGGGAGAAGAUUAAAUUCAAGUUUAAAGGAGUGGCCAUUUUAAUCCAAUAACGAACGUCUCCAUCUAUAAUAUAUUUCGAGAGACAUUCUUUCGCGUUCGAUCUUUUCUUUUUUUUUUUUUAUAUAGAUAAAUAUAUUACGUUAUUCAUAUCCUUUUAGCCUUUUAUAAUGACGCAUAUGAUCCGUAUGAUCUAUAAUCUAUGAUGUAUACAAUACCGAUGUGUUUUAUAAAUGACUGACAUUUUGAGACAUGAAAGUAAAAUGAAAAGAAAAUACAUUCGCCUCGUUCUCUUUUCGAUUUUUGUAAAAAUACACGGAGCUUGUAUCGGAAAAUAUAACUAACCAAUGAGAAGGCAUUGUUGUUUUAUUGGCAGCUUUUCGUGCAUUUCUCUCUUCUCAUCUCUUUUCUUCUCUUCUCGCUUUUACGUCAAUCCGAAGCAUCAUAUAACGUUUAGUAAAGAGAUAUAUCACACGAUCGUUUCCUCGUCCACGCUCCGUUUAUUUUCCCCCGAUAUGAUAGUCACACAGGUUGAGAGAGGGUUUGAAACCUUUCUCUUUCUCUCCCUCUCUCCAUUUAUGUACUCCUUUCGAGAUAUACGUUCGAGUCGAAACGAUCGCCAAGGGGCACUAGCAGAAGGUUUUGAAUAUUACAAAACGCGUCCUUUCAAAUCGUAACACGUGACUAAUUUCGUUAUUACGAAUAAAUGUUUUGAACCCUAACUACACGUUAUAUCAUUUAACUAUUCUAUCUAUGCGAGAAACUUUUAUACGCUUUGUUUUUCACAUAUUUUUAGUUCCAUAAUAAAUGUUCAAGAAUAUAUAUAUAUAUAUAUAUAUAUAUAUAUAUAUAUAUAUACACGCGGACGCGCAUAUACAUUCUUUUAUUUAUACACCCUACUUUCUUUCAUUUAAAAAUAAUUAGAAAACUAAAUAAAAUUGUGAUAGAACUUUUUUGUGAUAGAUCUAGUGAAACAAAUAAAUACGAUAAUAUUAACAAUUCCAUUUUCCUCUUGCUAUUUGGAUGUUUAGUUGUCCCCAGAAAUAGCCAGAGGGAAAGAAGAAACUGGAAUCACGUACGUCAAUCACGCUCUGUUUAUCGUACGUGUGCCGAUCGUCCCCACUUAGAUUGAAUUCUUUCCCUCGGACUAAUAUGAACAGUAGUGCUCAAGUUCUUACAGAAGGAAGAGGGUUUCUUCUAUCUCCCUCUCUUCUUCUUCUUCUGCUUUUUCUGCUUUUCGCCCUUCUCUUCUUCUUCCUUCUCGUCUUCGUCUUCGUCUUCGUCUUCUCCUUCUCGUGAUAAAUGAAACUUUUCGAGGGUAGAAAACCUUUUUCCGUAUGGUCUGUAACCCACCUUACUCGGUUCGUUAGAUUCAUCGCUUGAUAUACACGUAACUUCCUUCUCUUUCUUUUUUCCCCCUGGAAUAAGGAAAAAAGAACCAUAAAAAAGUGAUCAGGAUGAUAAGACAAAUCAAAUUUUUUUUUUAAGAAAAUCAUUUUAGAUCUUCUCUAUUAUCUUAUGUAACAUGUUCUUUUACGCAUACUUUAAAUAACGGAAAUAUAUAUGAACCUACAUUGUCGAUUAGUACAGUAUGGAAAUUUAAAAAUAAAUAAUAAUGAAUAAAAAUAGAAAAAGAUAAGAGAAAUCUACGUAUUAUCGAUUAUAAUAUUAUAUUUGACAAAUGAUUAUUAGCAAUGUCAAAGUGAAAAAUUAAAAAUGACACUGGAAAAAGGGGGGAUUAGUAAGAAAGAAAAAAAGAGAGAGAAAGAAGAUAAAAAGGUGCAUUCUCAGGCGAGAAGAGAGGCUUUAUGAUUCCCAAAGAAAACGAAAUUGAAACGGUCGACGACUUUGUAAGGCCGUCUUAAGUACGAGACCCCGAUCUUUGAAUCCGCUGAAACUUUUCUUUUAACUUUUUCGAAUGGCGGGUCUCGAAAACUUCGAAACCGACUGCAAGUAAAAGAGAGAAAAAAAAAGAGAGUGGCCCUCGGCGUCCAAUUAUAAAAUUCUUUUCCUUUCUCACGACUUCCACGAGCACCGAGAUAAAAAAAAUAUAUAUACACACGCGCGCGCACAUUUAUAUAGACAUAUAUAAGUAUAAGACGAAACGAAGAAAAUGAAAGAAAUUUUUCGACUUGGCCUCGUCUUGGAUUCAUAACCUCUUUAAAAAGUUUAACCGAAGAAGCGAAUGUCCAUUAAUAUUUCGUCAUCGUCCAAUAAGCAAAACCCUUCUCAUUCAUAUAUUCACACGAACGUAUACACAUAUUAACGGCUAUUCACAUCGAUUCAUAGUUCAUAUGUAAACUCACGCAUAAUACUCACACAUAAAUCCAUAAAUGGAUCCAAAAGUUUUCUCAUACGAAAUGCUUUUACUUGUCGAAUGGCCUUCUCACACCAUCUCUCUCUUUCUAUCACUCACGCGCGCGAAACGUCAGGCGCAUGUAUACGAACAAGAUUCAAAUGCAAAUGAAGAUAGAUAUGUACGAAAAAAGUGUUGAUAAUAUUUUAUUUCUUUUUUUUUUUUUACAGACAUUUACUAUCUCUCUGUGAUAUUAACGAUUGUUGUAUUUAUAAAAUAAAUUAUAAGUACAUAGCUUGUAAUAUUGCUAAUACUUUUUUAACGUAAUAUUUAACUUAAUUGUACGUUUUAACUACAUUAAAGAUAAAGAAGUUUUCCAAAUUUUCGAAUAUCUUCUUUUCUGUUGAAAAAAAAAAGGAAGAAACUCGCCUAUCGAUUUAGCAUUCCCUUCUAUGGGAAAAGAGCUAACUACUUACGUAUAUAACGUAUUUGGAUUCGAUUCACGACAUUUGUCGUACCGUUAUAUGCCUUUCAACACAUGCUGCUAUGCCGGAUGCAUGAGUUGUCAGGAAGUCGAGUCGAGUCGAAUCAACCAACGAGCUUCCACUGCGUCCGUCAUCGUCCAUGUUGAAUUCGCGUGACUUCGUUUUCCAAACGUUUUGCACGGUCGAUAAUUAGCUUGACAUUACGUUUGACAUUUUCCGUUAGAAAAACGUUCGUUCGAAAUAAAAAAAAGAAAAAAAGAAAAAGAAACAAACAGAAAAAAUGAUAAAUAAAUAACUCGAUUCCAAUUAUACGUACAGAAGAGCCGAGUGAUCUCGUUAAAGAUGCUGACCGUCCAUUUCUCCACCGUAAAGCUAGUUAACCUCAAAUACUACCUCAAUUUCGUUCCAAGUAACUCGCCACUUCGCUUUUGCAUUUAAAUAACGUUUACCGACUAUACACUCGUAUACAGGGUGACUCGUUUCUAUCUGUAAAUAAAUAUACUUUGAUGAAAAUAUUUUAUAAAAUAAUCAAAAUUACCAAUAUUUUGGCAUUUUGACUCUUGUCAUUUAUACUCGUAUGUACAUCGAGUGAUUAAUUUCGACCUAUAAAUAAAUACACUCGACAACAUUUUGUAAAAUAACAAGAUUACAUUUCUUUCGACAUUUUAAUGUCUUAUUAAAUAAAAAUGAAAUUUGUAAUUUUGUGAAAGUUUGCUAAACAAAACAUAUUCGUUCAUAAAUGAUUUGGGCCACUCUGUACAUGCAUACGUAUAGAUAAAUGGCUCGUAUCUGUAAGCGAGGGGUGAGGAAGAGAAUGCAGUCGCAUAAGUUUCUUUGACCGGUUGGAAAUUCGACGUGGCAUACUCCAACGAAACUGAUGGUCACCAGCACGAUAAAUACAUUACUGCCAUUGCUACUAUCCAGAAUCAUGGAACUGAGAUUCUCACAGCUUUUACGACUUUCGAUAACGUACCGUGAAAAGUAUCUUUCUGGACACGAGUGCUCUUCAAUGUUUCCAAGUGAAAAGAUAUUUCGAACUUCCUCUCUCACGAGUCCUAUGAAAAUGUUUCAAAGUAAUAUGAGAAAAAAAGAAAGUUCGUGAUUUCUAUUCUAACCUCAAAAUUUAAUACUUAUGAAAUGAACAAAAUUAUACAAAACUAAAAAAGAGUGAUUAAAAAGUAUCAAACAUUAUCUUAUAAAUUCCAACAAUUUUUCUAAUUUUAUUUUAAUUUUACCCUAUAAAUUUGAUCUUUUGACCCCAGCAAAGAUAUGUUAGUUCACGUAACAAACCUUUUAAGUAUGAUAAUCAAGUGAGGCUGGAUUAAAUGCAGUAAUUAGGAUUUCCGUACGACGUUAAACGUGGUCAGUGAUGCAUACCGACACCAACAAAGUGAAUGCCCUACUGCAAACAUAUAAGUCGAUGCUAUAAUCUCAAAGAUAAAUAUAUACAUAUUAUUAACAUAUAUAUGGAAUCAAAUUCAUACCUACAUCUAUGCUAUAAUACGUACAUGCUUAGUUGGGACCGAAAUGUCCCAGGUGAUCUUUGAAAUCAAUUAUUCUAUUUUCAAGAUUUUUUAGGCUCAUAGUUUAACGAUCCGAAACAGAAAUUGGCCUAAAAUAUCUCGGAAGAAAGGAUUGAUUUUUGAGAUUAUCUAGAAACUUUUGGCCCACCCUCUGUACUCGCGCGGACGUGCGUGCGUAUAUGUGUGUGAUGUACAUAUACAUAUAUAUCGCACUGUUCUUUUUGUAGCGAAUAGGAAGACGAGAGAAGAAACGUAUUUUCUUGUGAAAAUUACUGGCCACGUUAAUAUCGUGUUUCUGUAAAACCACGUAACGCCAUAGUUCGUGGCAUUAUUCGUAAAAAUAUUUGUUGAACGUGCUUGAAACAUGUAUGUAAGAGAGUGAGAGAGAGAAAGAGAGAGAAACAGAAAGACAAAAAAGAUUUAAUUAAAUUUUCUUCGCAUUCCAGAGCACAGAAAAUGAUGUUGUUAUAACUACGACAUUAAAACCGUUGCUAUUAUCCUCCCUCCCCCCCCCCUCUCUUUCUGAUCUUUAAGUCUUUUUAAAUAAAUAAAUAAGUCAAUUGUUUAAUCAAUUAAUUUCUCUUUAUUUUAUUCAUAUAUAUAUAUGCAUCUUUUUCUGUCUUACGAAAAAAAGCAGGGACUUUGAAAAUCGAAUUGAACAGCGUCAUGAAAUAAAUAAAAGUUCUUAUCGGUCUUAUAGAGGACGGGUAUAUGCUCUCCGUUCUGUUUAUCCUCAAUUCAAUAUUUUUCCCAAACUUUCCACCUUCACCUCUUCUUCUCCUACGUUUGCCGUCUCCCGAUGGUAGAAAAGCUUUUAUCAAUCGAAUAUAGAAAAUUGUUAUGGAUAUGACGAUUUUUCUUUUAUACAUCUAUACAUUAUAAUAUGAGGGAUUCGAAGGAUGAGAUAGAUAGUAGCUGUAAUAAUUUAUCUUGAUAAGGAGAGAAUGAUAAUAAUAUUAAUAAUAACAACAGUAAUGAUAACAGUAACGGUAUAUGAAAUGCAACUCUUUCGAUGUUUUUUUAUUAUACACACACACUCACACAGUGUGUGCGUGUUUAAUAAAAGAAAAGUAAAGUCCCUGGAUUUGGAUUUUUCAGACGGACAAUCCUGUUUGAUCUCUCGAUUCUUUUCGAAAUAAUGAAAUGUUGAUAAAGAUUUUAUCCUUAUACGAAAGGUAACAUUUAUUAGUUUCAUUAUAUUUAAUAGAAAAUAAAUAAUCACUAAAUAUUGAUAAGGGUAUCAAAAAUGUUACUUGAUUUUACAACAAUAUAUUAACCGACAAUAUUAUACGUAUACACAUAUACAAGAUAAAUAGGAUAAUUAACAAAAGUUUUCUUUAUAUUAAUUAAUUUUCACAUAAAAAUGUUAGUUUUAAUCGGAAAAUAUUAUUUUAUUGAUGCAACCCCGUAUAUGUAUACACAUAUCCAAGUUGCAUGUGAAAGGUCUCUACCUGUCUCUCCGUAUUUUUCCAUUAUUUUUCUGAAACGUAAACUACUACCGCUAGUGUUACAUAUAUAUAUAUAUAUAUAUAUAUAUAUAUAUAUAUAUAUAUAUAUAUACACGAACACACACACAUACACAUACCAUAUAUGCUCAGUGGAAAAACUGGUUUCCCAAGUUUUCCUUAAUCGUUCUUAAUGGAUCGAUCUCCAACGUAACGAACGUCAAGUUCAAUGCAAUCGUUCCUGUAAAUGUCAUUCUUCGUUCCGCAUUGUCCAUAAGUUACAACAAUAAAAAAAAAAAACAAAAAAAAAUUUAUAUUUAUGCAGUAGGCGAAUAAAAUAUACAUAUAGUGUGUGUGUAUGUGAAUGUUUUUUAAAUUCGUUUAAUUUUACAUAAAUUUAAAUUUUAUAUUAUAAACUUAUUUUGCAUCCAACUAGAUUUUUUUUAUCGAUAAUAAGAAAAUUGUACUAUCAACAUAACAAUUACCGACAUAUGGUAAAAAGUGCCAAACAUUUUUCGAUUGAAAUUUUAAUGAAAUUUAAUUUAUUUUUCUUUUUUAAAAUUACGGUUAAUUUUAACGAUAUAAUCAUAAAUAUUAAUAUGAUAUUACAAUAAAUUAUUAUGGUACAUUAAUUAACACAUAUGUUAUAUUAAUACUGUAAUUAAUAGUAUGACAUAUCAUAUAAUACAAUAUUAUAAAGUAAUUACAAUAUUCAUUUAUUUUAAAUUUCAACAAUUAAAUAAAAUAAAUAAUAAUAAUAUACAAACACAAGCGCGUGCACUUGUAUAUGUAUGUGUAUGUGUACAUACGUACAUACAUACCUACGUACAUACAUAUAUACAUACAUACAUACAUAUAUAUAUAUACACACAUGUAUACCAUGUAUUCUCAGUCGUUGCAAAUUAAGUUAGUUACGUCAUCGUUACUGUAGUUGUUAGUGCAUAGCAGCAUCCAAAAAAAAAGAAGUAAAAGGAAAAGAAAAAUCGAAAAGUACCGUUCGACAAAUUUCAGAGUAAGACUUGGAAAGAGCGUAGAAGAGUAUGAAGAUGAGUAAGAAGAAGAACAAGUGGAACAGCUACCAAUUAUCGACGACCGUAGUCGGAAGUAACACUGAAGGACUUGUUCGUGUCGUGCAAAGAAAAUCAUCCUUACGAAUAAGUUCUUUCGUCUCUCUCUCUCUCUCUCUCUCUCUCUCUCUCUCUCUCUCUCUCUCUCUCUCUCUCUCUCUUUCUCUCUCUUUCUCUUCCUUGCUAGAUCUUACUAGAUACUCGCACUGAAUAAUAAUAUGGGAUAGAUAUACAGUAGACUAGUCCACAGCAUCAUUGUGUAACAAGCAUAGCUGAGGAAUAGACGAUAUCUUUCCUCCGCAUAGAAAAUCCGCGUCAGCAAUCUCGAUCGUCGAGGAGUUUGGAUUAGGACGAAUUCAAGAUGACGAGGACAACGAGGAAACUGAAUCGUUAUUAUUUUCCUAAGAGUUUCUCUUUCUCCAGGAAUGUGUGUGUGUGUGUACACGAUACUGAAAAUGAUUUUGAUGGCAGCCCAAAUAAAACGUACACGGACAAGAAAACAAGAACUCGUUUUCAAAUAUAAAUGCACACAAUUAAACAAAAUGGUUAUAAAAUCAUCAAAGUAGCAAAUGGAAGCAUUUCUAACAAAUAAAAGCUAGAAACGAAAUUUGAACGAUCGAUCUACAUACACAUAUACAUGUGUACAUGCAUACAAAGAAAAAAGGAAAAUAAUAACAAAAAAAUUAUUUAAUGCGAAUGAGUAAGCAGUACAGAAAAUUACAUUACGUUAAUAGAACUUUAUUAGCUAUACCACGUCCACAACAAAAUGCAAUAUCCGUUGAAUUUCAACUCCAAUUUAAUACGCAUGCGCACACCCGUUCAAUCCCCUCUCUUUUAUACGCAUUCAUCUCUCUCUCUCUCUCUCUCUCUCUCUCUCUCUCUCUCUCUCUCUCUCUCUCUCUCUCUCUCUCUCUCUCUUUGAUACAAACAUGAAUACGUACGUACAUAUAUACAUGGCGUAAUCGGUCAAGCCAAGGCACAAGCUCUUACGGCGACAUUUUAACAUGUGACGUUUUCAUACACUGACUUUGCAAUAAGUCGUGUCACGAAAGGAAACAAGAGAGACAGAGAUGGAAGAUGCACAUGUUUGCUAGCUGGAUGCAUGCAUGCAUGCAUGCAUAGCAUAUAAUUGCAACAUAACCGGAAACACGUGUACGUAAAGCCUGCUUUCACCACCUCUGACCCUUUCUAUACAUCCAUCUAUAUAUUUCUCUCUUCCUUUAUCUUUCGCAUAAAUAUAUGUCGAUCGUUGCACAUUCACGAAUGUCAAGUACUUCCAAGUUAUUACGCCUUUGACAUCAAGUACGUACUAGUAUUAGGUACUUUCGCGCGCUAUUUCGAUUCCAAGCUUCAUAAUACCUCGCUUACCAGUUUCUCUGUGUAUAUGUACGUAUGUAUAUUUAUAGUUUAGUAUGCAGUCAGAUUAGAUCAUACAUAUAUACACUCGAAUAGGUACAUGAACACAGCAUACAUGCAUACACGCGUGCGCGCACGUAAGUCAUCACUUGCCGAAGAACAAACUUUGCACGGAAAAAACUGUUUUACCGACGGAUUUAGAACUACUCUUUCCGACUUUACUCGACAAUAUCGACAUUUAUUUUUUCUUCCUUUCUUUUUUUUCCAUGACUGUACUUAGUCUUUUCCAAAACCACAAACGAGUUUUUUCCGUUCUCUCCUCUCUCUCUCUCUCUCUCCCUCUUUGCUGCAUUUAUAUUUAUCUGAGAAUGAAUCACCGAGCGUGUUAAAAAUAUUAAGAACAGAUUUUACUUCGCCAGUCUCUCUCUUUCCCACUCUCCUUCUCAUCUCUCUCUUUCUCUCUCUGUCUCUCUCUGUCUCUCUCUCUCUCUCCUUCUUUCGAUUUUGAAAACGUUGAAAUUAUUUAAUUGCUUUAUCUGCUUUUCUAUUUUUUUUUACUUCAUUAAAUAUUAAAAAGAAAUCAAAUAAAAUCUAUUUAUUUUGUCUGUUAAUAAUCACGUGAUUCGUCUAGUACAUUUUUAAAUCACAUGACCUAUACACAAAAAGUGCAAUAUUCGAUUGAAAAUGAUUAAUAAUUAUUGAUCAUAUCGUUAUAAACCAAAUUAUUUUUUUUAAUUAAUAUUCAUAGUUACUGAAUAAAUAAAUAAAUAAAAAUUUCAUCUUGAAAUAUUUUAAGUUAUAAGAAAAAACAAAGAAUAUCUUUCUAAAAACUUCACACACGAUAGAGAUUCAAUCUUACCGAUUUAUAGCGAUCUACUUUACUGACAUCAUACCUUUGUACUUAUCCAUUUAUUCAGAAAACAAUACAUUUACUCGUCCAAUCGGAUCGAAUGUUGAACUUUAGUAGAGAGUAAAGUAGUUCCUUUCGGAGUACCACAACAGAACAUUGCUCUUAAUAUAUAUCGAAUUUAAUUCAGAUUAGCCAUCGAAGCUCUUAUAUAUAAUGUAUAAUGUACAUGUGUAUAUAUAUAUAUAUAUAUAUAUAUAUAUAUAUAUAAAGAGAGAGAGAGAGAGAGA